rnacentral:rRNA from 1 species
UACGUAGGGUGCAAGCGUUAAUCGGAAUUACUGGGCGUAAAGCGUGCGCAGGCGGUUAGAUAAGCCAGAUGUGAAAUCCCCGGGCUCAACCUGGGAACUGCAUUUGGGACUGUUUGACUAGAGUACGGCAGAGGGAGGUGGAAUUCCACGUGUAGCAGUGAAAUGCGUAGAGAUGUGGAGGAACACCGAUGGCGAAGGCAGCCUCCUGGGCCUGUACUGACGCUCAUGCACGAAAGCGUGGGGAGCAAACAGGAUUAGAAACCCGUGUAGU